rnacentral:lncRNA from 1 species
CCGUUUUGCCCUUUUCCCUUAAAUUUCUUGAUUUUGGUGUCAUUGGAUUCGAAUUGUGAUUGUGAAUAAUUGUUUGAAUAGAUUAUCGUGAUCCGGAUUCUACUCGGAAAGGAAAGGCUCAAGUCAAGUAACUUUUGGAGUUCGUUUUAAGGCAAGUGGCUUCCAAACUUUGUAAAACUCUUAGACUACGCAUGACUACUUUCCUAAUUGUGUUGGGGAGUAAUGGGGAUUGAGGAUGAGUUUUAUUUGUUGAUUGAAAUUGUUGUAAAUGAAAGAUGGGGAAUAAAACGAGCUAAGUGUGUUAUAUGUGACUUGAAUUUGUUGAAUAAGUCAUGUGAUAACUGAUAUUGAGGGGAUAGAAGAGCAUGAGUAGGCUAUGAUUGAUACAGACAUUGAUGUUGAGACAGAUGAUGUGUAAUACUAUGAUGUGAUCGUAAUAUGAUUGUGAUUGAUGACAUGUGCAUAUUCAUUAUUCAUCUCAUGUGUGAACUAUCUGUUGCAUGAGUUCUGAGACACUGAUAUGAGGAUGGAUGGAUAUGAGACACAGUUGAGACUAGCUCCGGCUAGCGAUUUGGAUGCCGAUGGGAUCUGGUUCCGGCGGUGAUACAUGGUCCAUGUGUGGCCCCCAUGGGUUCUGAUUUGAGUAUUCAGCGCGGACUGAUUACGUCAACAGAUGUGUAUCGUAGGACAGACAUGCAUCACGACUACAUGACAUCAUUAUUGCAUUUGCAUCGCAUUUCACUUCAUCUUUGUCUGUGGUGUGUGGAUUUUACCUAUUUGCCCCUCUUCAUGUGAUAUAUGAUCUAUUUGCUCUUAUAUGAGGAUAUGAGGUUGAUUUUGAGACACUGUUGGAUAUAUAUG